AAGAUGGCUGCCGUGGGACUGCAUGGUUAGCUGCCUAAAAAGCGGCAGCGAAGAAGAAAAGGGCGGAAGUUUGUAAUAGAAGGAACGACGAUAGGGAAAAGUGCUAGUUUGUGUGAUCUUGGUCGCAAAAAGAGGACAUUAAAUCGUUGAAAGAGUUGAUAAGGCUGUCGAAAAAAACCGAUGGCGUCGUCCGAGGAGCAAGUGUGUCGAGCGUGGGAAGAGAACGAGCGGCAGCACGACGACAGUUUCUUGGCUCCGAUCGUGUUGCACAUUCAAGACAUCCAUCAGCUGAUUGGUCGCCAAGAGGAACUUCCCCCUCGUCCGCAGGCAAGGAGCUCCAGUGUGGACAAUCCACAGCCCUGCCACAUUAAAGAGGAAGAGGAGGAGGUGGACGUCAGCGAGUUACCACUGACUGUCGUCGUUGUGAAGAGCGAAGACGACCAAGAUGAAGCACCCGAGUGGUCAGAGCUUCAUCAUCACAGUCCAAGCGGAGACCACCGUGGAGCACCACCACUACGCAAGCUCUUAGCUCCACUGUCACAUAGUCACAGCACGGAAAAACCCUUGAAGAGCGAUGCAGACUGUAAGGGUGAUGAGAAACACUCCAAAAAGGAGACGACUCUUGACAAGAAAACAUCUCACGCACACACGAGAGGUCACGGACCAAAAGAAUCUUUAACCUGCUCAGUUUGUGGUCGAAGACUAUUGAAAAAGUCAGACAUGGAGGUACACAUGAGAACGCACACAGGUGAAAAAACAUUUAGUUGUUCAGUUUGUGGCGAUAAAUUCCGCCACAAGGUCUCUUUGGUUGCCCACACAGCAACACAUACGGGAGAAAAACUUUUCACUUGCCCCUUUUGUAAAAAAAGCUUUUCUUAUAAGCACCGUUGGAAAGCACACAUACAGACGCACACGGGAGAAAAACCUUUCAGCUGCUCAGUUUGCAAUGAAAGCUUUUCAUAUAAGUAUGAUUUGACAAGACACGUGAGAACACACACAAGAGAGAAACGCUUUAGUUGUUCAGUUUGUGGUGAAAGCUUCGCACAAAAGGCCAAUUUGAUUGCACACAGCAUAACACACUUAGAAAAUCCUUUUACCUGCUCAGUUUGUGGUAAAAGAUUUGCGGUAAAAGACAACAUGAGUCGACACAUGAGAACGCACACUGGAGAAAAACCUUAUUGUUGCUCAGUUUGUGGCGAAAAAUUUGCUCACAAGGCCUCUUUGACUGCGCACACGGCAACACACACGGGAGAAAAACCAUACACGUGCUCAGCUUGUGGUAAAAGCUUUUCCUAUAAGCAGAAUUUGAAUGCACACAUGCGGACACACAACGGAAAAUAAACCUUUAUCUGUGCUAAAACAUGCACCCCCUCCCCUCCCUAUUUCCCAUUUGAGGCCAUUUCACUUUUGCCAGAGAUUUAUGGAAAUACAGUAUAUAGGUCAUUCUCAUACAAUUUGAUUAAUAACUGAAGGCAUACACCACUGAUUUUCAUUUGGAAAAUCAAUACAUUUCACUGAUAUGAGUAUUUGAAUUAUUGCCAGUCGUUAUCAGUCACGGGGGGUGCUGGAGCCUAGCCUAGCUACUGUCUUCAUGAAAACAAAGUUCUAAAGUAGUAUUUUUCACUCUUUUAAUGCCAAAAACGUCUCUAUCGUUAUGUGUCCCAAAUGAAAUUUCAUGAUUUGUAACAUGUUGUCUGAAGAUGCUAAUUACAUUUCGGGUUAUAUAGGAUUUUUCCCCUAUUGCUAAAUAUAGGUUUUCCAAGAAAACUUCCACAGAUGCAUCUUAGUGUCUUAAUCUGAAUCUUGUAUUUUUGGGAAGUCAAGAAUUCAAGUCCAAUAAAUAGCUUGAAAUGGUACAAACUAAAAUAAGUGGUGAACCACCAGAGGUUAAAAAAACUGGGCAAAGUUACCCAAAACUGAGAAAUAAUCUACAUUUCAGAUUUAUUCAAAACUGGACAAAAGAGUGAAAGCAAUACAAGCUACAAGUACCACACAAUUAUGGGAACGUCCGCAACAGAGUUGGGAGGAACUUUCUGAAGAAUAGUUGAUUUCCAUUUUAGAGUUAAUGCCACAAGUUUGUUCAGCUGUUAUAUCUGCCCAAGGUGGCUUCUUUAAUGAGUCAAAGAUUUAGAAUACAUUUUUGUUUGUAGAUUGAUUCCAUGAUUUCUUUUGUAACUUGAAUCAUUUUUUUUUGCUCUGCGCCUUCACUUGAUUGUAAAAGAGGAUUUGAACUGCAUAAAUUUCUUUUUUAAAAACUGGAAAAUAUGGGGUGUUUAAAAACAUUUGACCGGUCGUGUAUGUUAUUGCAAUUAGUAUUUUUAAUGCUUCAUUUGAAAACAUUGGCAAAAUUCCUUAACCCAUGCAAUCCCAUACAGUGCAGUGCAGUCAAGUGUUGCUUUUUCCCAUAUUUUUUUUAAGGAUCAUAUUGAUGACACCCACAAUGAGCAGUACAGAGCUGAUGACCUGAGGAAAUUAAAACCGAAUGCUGUGCCUACACUGUUCAUGUUCACGCCACUUAGAAAGAUUGCGCGGCCCUAGGAGAUGUCUUGAGCGAAGCAGAGAUCAGUUGUCGUCUUAACUGUCAAAGAGGAUACGAAUUGAACAUUGAUAUUGUCUGUCAUCUCUUCCACCUGACACCCGGGAGAAGCCAAUUUGCCAUAGUGAAGAUGGUAAUUAUGUUGUAAAAAGAAUUAACGCACAAACCUAUCAAUAUCAGGUGUCUUUUAUAGAACUCCAAAGUGAUCUAUGAAUAAGAGGGUCUGUCAAAUAUUUACUAAAAAAAUCCACGACUAGGUGACGAUAAUAUAAAAGCAAAGUAGAAUAGAAAAGUACAUGUAUCCCAAAUUAUUUUAAUCUAAAGCAUUGUACACAUUGUUUACAUUGACUACGGCUCUGGUCCCGGUAGCCGUGUUUCAAUACCGUUGCAAGAUGGCUGCCGCACAAGCAUCAUCGAAGAAGAAACAGGCGGAAGUUGACGAGACUUCCAAUGGACUACGAGAGACAGAAGUGCGAGCUUGAAGUUGUGUUGUUAUGGUCACUAAACUAAAAUAGCAGUCUACUGAAACAUUUUAAUGGGCUCGUCUUAUUGUAAGGAACCGUUGAAGAGUUUGAAAGAACUAUGGCGUCGUACGAGGAGCAAGUUUGCCGAGCAAGCGAUGAGAAGGAGCGACAACCACAACAACAGGACGCCAUUUGCUUUACUCCGAUUGUCUUGCACAUAAAAGACGUCCAACAGCUGUUGGCUGGGAGCUUCAGUUCAGAGCGUCCACAGCCCCCCCAUGUCAGAGAGGAAGAGGAGAAGCUAAUAGCCCCCCGAAUUAAAGAAAAAGAAGAGGAUCCACAAUCCCCCCACGUCAGAGAGGAAGAGGAGGAGCCACUAUCCCCCAGUGUUAAAGAAGAAGAGGAGGAUCCACAGCCCCCCCACGUUAAAGACGAAGAGGAGGAGAUUGAUGUCAGCCAGUUGCCACUGAACGUCGUCGUUGUAAAGAGUGAAGACAACAAAGACGAAGCACCCGAGUGGCCACAGCUUCACCAUGACAGUCUAAGUGGAGGACCCCCACCAGCCAACCUCUUAGCUCCACUGUCACACAGCGACAACAUGGAAGAUACAAGCGAUGCGGAUUGUGAAGGUGACAACAAAGACUUUGAAAAGAAAUCAAGUAAUGAACGUUGUAGAUGCUCACUUUGUGGCAAAGGUUUUUCUUACGAGUGCAUUUUGAUUCGACACAUGCGGAAGCACACGGGAGAAAAACCCUUCAGUUGUGGAGUUUGUGCUAAAAGAUUCACUCAAAAGGUACAUUUGGAAUCACACGCGAGGACACACACGGGAGAAAAACCCUUCAGUUGCUCAGUUUGCGGUAAAAGUUUUGCUCAAAAAGGAACAAUGAUUAGACACAUGACGACACACACUGGACGACCUCCGGACGACGUUUUGGCUCCACUGUCACAGAGCGACUACAUGGAAGAACCUUUGCAGAGCCACACAGACUGUGAAAAUGCGCACCUGAGAACACACACAGGAGAAAAACCCUUUAGUUGUUCAGUUUGUGGCGAUAGGUUCCAUCACAAUGUCGCUUUGAUUGCGCACACGGCGGCACACAUGGGAGAAAAACCUUACACAUGCUCAGUUUGCGCUAAAAGCUUUUCUCGUCGGCACCAUUUGAAAGAGCACGUGUGGACGCACCGCGAAGAAAAACGCUUCAGUUGCUCGGUUUGCGGCGAAGGCUUCAGGUACAAACACAAUUUGACACCGCACAUGAGAACGCACACGGGAGAAAAACCUUACACUUGCUCUGUGUGCGACGAGCGCUUUUCCCAUAAGUACAACAUGACGAGACACAUGACGACGCACACAAAAGAAAAACCUUUCAGUUGUUCAGUUUGCGGUAGCAAGUUUGCUCACAAGAUCACUUUGAUUUUACACACAGCCACACACAUGCAGAAACACAACGGAGAAUAAAUGCGGCGACCCUUUUUUCAGCAUUUUCAGUUUUUCUCUGAGGACUUUAUGAAACUGAUUUAAAAAAAAAAGAUGAACAAAUGGUAUUAUUAUGACCGUUUGUGGGUUACAUUUUUGUUUUGGGCUUUUUAUAGCACUUCCUGUGAGGCUUUAGUUGCUGUUUUAAAAUUAUUUAUUGAACAUAUACAAACAUUUCAACACAGGACAGGCCAUACAACAAUAGGAACAUAAAAUAAUAUAAAUAAUAUGAAUAAACAAACAAAUAGAAUGCAGCAGUAGAUUUUGUCCUUUGAUCCAAAUGUACACGUUCAAUAGGUGUAGGAAGAAGUAAAACACACUUUGUUUAUUCUUCUCUUGGAUUUUUUUUAAAUACACCUGUUCCCCUGAGAUUGUAACAACUCUCUCUAAUUUCAAACAACUUCUCAGUACUGUGGCUAAGUCAAUUGUUGUGUAUUUUAUACAUUACCUGUGCUGUUUUGAAUUCAACUAAGUCGUAAGAAUUCAUUUUAGAAAUUCCGUUCGACUGUGUCCUCAGUCACAGAUAACAUGGGUGAGAGACACAUUCCUAAUAUUUGUUGUCGUUUUCCAAGGGUAAAUGUGUUUAUUAAGUAUGGUGUGAUUGGUGUUUUAUUUAUUUUAUCAGUUGUAACAUCUGGUAAACAUCUGUUCUUUAGUUUCAAUAAAACACGUGUUAAGUGUGCAUAAUCA